ACCCGUUCAAAUACCUGUACUUUCACUUACAUGUCACCAAAAAUUGGACAAUACUUCGUUGCAUAUAGAAGGAUCUAAUUACCUGUAUCAGCACAACACGCACAAAUAUAUAUGUAUAUACUUGGCCGUCGGGGCCACCACAUAUACAAAUAUAACAUUAUUAUAUAAACUUCCAUGACUUUACCCUUCCUUAUGUCUACAAAGCCUCUAGGAUAUACAUGACAUACCUAGGGUCGGGAUAAACCCCCGCCCACACAUGACUCAUGUACAAUAACAAAAUAUAAGGAACCGACUCGGAAAGCUCCGAAGCAAAUUGGAGCUCACCAACAACAGCUGUAUGACCUGGCUUCUACUUGUGCACUCGGAAAGCUCCGAAGCAAACUGGAGCUCACCAACAAUAGCUGUAUGACCUGGCUCCUACUUGUGCGGUGUAUGAGCUGAGGUACCUGUGCCUGCAGCAUGAAAUGCAGGUCCCCCGUGAGGGACGUCAGUACGAAAUAUGUACUGAGUAUGUAAAGCUGUAAAUAAUCACAUAUGAUAUAGGAGCUCAAUAGAAAUCAGAAACAAGUGAAUAAGUCGUAAUAGGAGUGGACCACACUUACUAGAACUUGUGACAACCUGUACAUUGUAUUUAUUCAAUCACUUUACCUUCGUUCUUAUCGUCUUUGUAAUCAUUACUGUACUGUACUGUGACCAUUAGGCUGCCUCCAGUACAUAUCAACUGGGAUCGACCCAUGCUAGGCUUAUGCCCCUGGGAUACCACCCAUAAACACAUAAAUAGGGAUCGACCCAUGCUAGGCUUAUGCCCCUGGGAUACCACCCGAUAAGAGAGAACUCCCAUCACUUAGUUCAAUUAAUCUUUGAGAUUGUUAUUUCGGUCGCCUCCACAUUUUUAAUACUUUGAAACAAUGAUACAUCAAUAGGAACCAAGUAAUAGACCUUCUAUACAAUAACGAUGUAAUAAAGACUCAUUGGUACAUCAACAAUGUGUUUCAGAAUCAUCAAUAUCACAACAAUGAAAUAAGAGCCUUUUGGUAUAUCAAUGAACAUUUUGACACUUUAUAGGAUGGAAACAACUUCGUUGGUAACGUAGAACAAUACAUGUUUUUGGACAACCUCGGAAUCUUACUUGAUGGAACAUUGGUGUUUUCAUGCCAAAGAACAUUGUUAGAGUAUGCUUUACAUACCUCGUUGUAGAUUCAGAUACCAAUUCAA
rnacentral:lncRNA from 1 species